rnacentral:rRNA from 1 species
GAUGAACGCUGGCGGCGUGCCUAAUACAUGCAAGUCGAGCGAACGGACGAGAAGCUUGCUUCUCUGAUGUUAGCGGCGGACGGGUGAGUAACACGUGGAUAACCUACCUAUAAGACUGGGAUAACUUCGGGAAACCGGAGCUAAUACCGGAUAAUAUUUUGAACCGCAUGGUUCAAAAGUGAAAGACGGUCUUGCUGUCACUUAUAGAUGGAUCCGCGCUGCAUUAGCUAGUUGGUAAGGUAACGGCUUACCAAGGCAACGAUGCAUAGCCGACCUGAGAGGGUGAUCGGCCACACUGGAACGGGGACACGGUCAAUACUCCUGAGGGAGGCAGCAGACGGGAAUCGUCCGCAAUGGGCGAAAGCCUGACGGAGCAACGCCGCGUGAGUGAUGAAGGUCUUCGGAUCGUAAAACUCUGUUAUUAGGGAAGAACAUAUGUGGGAGUAAAUGAGCACAUCUUGACGGUACCUAAUAAGAAAGCCACGGCUAACUACGUG